rnacentral:rRNA from 1 species
GUCCACGCCGUAAACGAUGGAUACUUGGUGUUGGAGGUAUUGACCCCUUCAGUGCCGAAGCUAACGCGUUAAGUAUCCCGCCUGGGGAGUACGGCCGCAAGGUUAAAACUCAAAGAAAUUGACGGGGGCCCGCACAAGCGGUGGAGCAUGUGGUUUAAUUCGAUGCAACGCGCAGAACCUUACCUAGGUUUUACAUGGUUUGGAAGACUACCAGAAAUGGUGUCGCCCGCAAGGGCCGAAUCACAGGUGCUGCAUGGCUGUCGU